GCUCCAAACCAAGGGCGCCGACCGCAUCUACUCCUCCGCCCUCGAGGCCACCGUCCACACCUUCCGCACCCAGGGCCUCCUCGGCUUCUACCGCGGCGUCUCCGCCGUCCUUGUCGGCUCUGCCUCCUCCUCCGCCGUCUACUUCGGCACCUGCGAGCUCGGCAAGUCCCUCCUCUCCCGCCUCCACGCCUUCCCGCCUCUUCUCAUCCCCCCAGCCGCCGGCGCCAUGGGCAACGUCGUCUCCUCCGCCAUCAUGGUCCCCAAAGAACUCAUCACGCAGCGAAUGCAGGCUGGCACCGCCGGCCGCUCCUGGGAGGUCCUCCUCCGCAUUGUCGAGAAGGACGGCAUCCCGGGUCUCUACGCCGGCUACUCCGCCACGCUCCUCCGCAACCUCCCUGCCGGGAUUCUCAGCUACUCGUCCUUCGAGUACUUGAAAGCCUUCGUGCUGAGUAAAACCGGCAAGAGCCACCUUGAACCGGCACAGAGCGUUUGCU
rnacentral:misc_RNA from 1 species